rnacentral:rRNA from 1 species
UCGGUUGAUCCCGCCGGACCUGACUGCUAUCGGAUUGAUACUAAGCCAUGCGAGUCUUUGUAGUAAUACAAGGCAUACGGCUCAGUAACGCGUAGUCAACCUACCCUAUGGACAAGAAUAAUCUCGGGAAACUGAGCAUAAUUCUUGAUAGAUCAUAAUGCCUGGAAUGGUUUAUGGUUAAAAUGAUUCGUCGCCAUAGGAUGGGACUGCGGCCUAUCAGCUUGUUGGUGAGGUAAUGGCCCACCAAGGCGAUUACAGGUACGGGCUCUGAGAGGAGAAGCCCGGAGAUGGGUACUGAGACAAGGACCCAGGCCCUAUGGGGCGCAGCAGGCGAGAAAACUUUGCAAUGUGCGAAAGCACGACAAGGUUAGUCCGAGUGAUUUCUGCUAAAGAGAUCUUUUGCUAGUUAUAAAACCACUAGUGAAUAAGGGGUGGGCAAGUUCUGGUGUCAGCCGCCGCGGUAAAACCAGCACCUCAAGUGGUCAGGAUGAUUAUUGGGCCUAAAGCAUCCGUAGCCGGCUCUGUAAGUUUUCGGUUAAAUCUAUGCGCUCAACGUAUGGGCUGCCGAAAAUACUGCAGAGAUAGGGAGUGGGAGAGGUAGACGGUACUCGGUAGGAAGGGGUAAAAUCCUUUGAUCUAUCGAUGACCACCUGUGGCGAAGGCGGUCUACCAGAACACGUUCGACGGUGAGGGAUGAAAGCUGGGGGAGCAAACCGGAUUAGAUACCCGGGUAGUCCCAGCUGUAAACGAUGCAGACUCGAUGAUGCAUUGGCAUAUAGCCAGUGCAGUGUCGCAGGGAAGCCGUUAAGUCUGCCGCCUGGGAAGUACGUACGCAAGUAUGAAACUUAAAGGAAUUGGCGGGGGAGCACCACAAGGGGUGAAGCCUGCGGUUCAAUUGGAUUCAACGCCGG